rnacentral:rRNA from 1 species
ACGCUGGCGGCAGGCCUAACACAUGCAAGUCGAACGGUAGCACAGAGAGCUUGCUCUUGGGUGACGAGUGGCGGACGGGUGAGUAAUGUCUGGGAAACUGCCCGAUGGAGGGGGAUAACUACUGGAAACGGUAGCUAAUACCGCAUAACGUCGCAAGACCAAAGUGGGGGACCUUCGGGCCUCACACCAUCGGAUGUGCCCAGAUGGGAUUAGCUAGUUGGUGAGGUAAUGGCUCACCAAGGCGACGAUCCCUAGCUGGUCUGAGAGGAUGACCAGCCACACUGGAACUGAGACACGGUCCAGACUCCUACGGGAGGCAGCAGUGGGGAAUAUUGCACAAUGGGCGCAAGCCUGAUGCAGCCAUGCCGCGUGUAUGAAGAAGGCCUUCGGGUUGUAAAGUACUUUCAGCGAGGAGGAAGGCGUUGUGGUUAAUAACCGCAGCGAUUGACGUUACUCGCAGAAGAAGCACCGGCUAACUCCGUGCCAGCAGCCGCGGUAAUACGGAGGUGCAAGCGUUAAUCGGAAUUACUGGGCGUAAAGCGCACGCAGGCGGUCUGUCAAGUCGGAUGUGAAAUCCCCGGGCUCAACCUGGGAACUGCAUUCGAAACUGGCAGGCUAGAGUCUUGUAGAGGGGGGUAGAAUUCCAGGUGUAGCGGUGAAAUGCGUAGAGAUCUGGAGGAAUACCGGUGGCGAAGGCGGCCCCCUGGACAAAGACUGACGCUCAGGUGCGAAAGCGUGGGGAGCAAACAGGAUUAGAUACCCUGGUAGUCCACGCCGUAAACGAUGUCUAUUUGGAGGUUGUUCCCUUGAGGAGUGGCUUCCGGAGCUAACGCGUUAAAUAGACCGCCUGGGGAGUACGGCCGCAAGGUUAAAACUCAAAUGAAUUGACGGGGGCCCGCACAAGCGGUG